rnacentral:rRNA from 1 species
GACGAACGCUGGCGGCGUGCUUAACACAUGCAAGUCGAACGGAAAGGCCCUGCUUUUGUGGGGUGCUCGAGUGGCGAACGGGUGAGUAACACGUGAGUAACCUGCCCUUGACUUUGGGAUAACUUCAGGAAACUGGGGCUAAUACCGGAUAGGAGCUCCUGCUGCGUGGUGGGGGUUGGAAAGUUUCGGCGGUUGGGGAUGGACUCGCGGCUUAUCAGCUUGUUGGUGGGGUAGUGGCUUACCAAGGCUUUGACGGGUAGCCGGCCUGAGAGGGUGACCGGCCACAGUGGGACUGAGAUACGGCCCGGACUCCUACGGGAGGCAGCAGUGGGGAAUAUUGCACAAUGGGCGGAAGCCUGAUGCAGCAACGCCGCGUGCGGGAUGACGGCCUUCGGGUUGUAAACCGCUUUCGCCUGUGACGAAGCGUGAGUGACGGUAAUGGGUAAAGAAGCACCGGCUAACUACGUG